UUUUUGUCCCUUUUUCUCUCUCUUCCUUUCUCUUCUUCCUUUUCUCUUUCUAAAGCAGCCUUGCCUUUCAGCAUCCUCUGUGAACCACUCUGGCUGAACACAGUUUUGAAAUGACUCAACAAAGUCAAAUGGUGCCAUAUAUGAUGUCUGUGCUGUGGCUGCAGCAGUUGCACGUGGCUUGGCAGGCUGGGGAUGUGUGGGGCUGAGGCAGCUGCAGCGAGGCCCGACAGCCCCAUUGCAGCAGCCCUGGCCUGCUUGGCGUCUUGGCAAAGAGUUCUGUCAGCGGCACCGCUGGCCUGUCCCCAAGGGUAGGGCUGCCAGCGUUAAUGAGGUGUCAGUGUGGGAGCUGGUAUUUUAAGCACCGCUACAAGCAAUUUUGUGACAUUUGUAAAGAAAGAACCGAACUUGGGAUAAAAAAAUCCCCCCAAGACCAAAUAAAGUGAUGGUUUCAGCUGGUGAUGCUUCAGUAGUGAGAACAUGUUUUGGCACAAAACCGCAUCCUUUCUGUUGUUGUAGAGCCUGGCCAAGGCCUUUGUAUACCUGCACAAAGGGCUCUUACUCAGAGCGCUCCAUGCUUUCUGGGGCUUCGGGCUCUCUGCCUUUCAUUCACAGUGAAUACACUGCUUUUUUCUACCGCUGAUUUAGGAUGAAAAUAAAGCAUUUUAUUUCCUGUAUGCUAAGAAAUUUUGUGCAGCUUUGGGUUUAGUCUGACUUCUGAACAUAUACCCGAUCAAGGAGAUCAAUAUACAUUCCUACAGCUAGAAGCAAUAAAUGACACGACGAGGGAGGAAAGCAAUAAAUACCUCUUUGACCAUACCUCUGAAGCAAAGCAAUUGCUUUUCAGUGGAAGUUUGUUUUCUUCAUGUUUUUAGUUAAAAGCUUUUAUUAAUUUUAACUGAAGUAAAUAUGUUAUGCUUUGCUUUUCAAAUCAAUCCUUUUACAGCUCGGAGUCCUUGGAGCUUGAAUCCUCUCCAGCCAUAUUCUGCUAUCUGCCAAUUCCUUGCUAAGUGCAAACCUGACACUGCUGCCAAUAAAUCCACCUUCGUGCCAUUUAAAGUCAUCUGCCGUAUUUCUGUGGAGCUAAUCAAAGUUUGUGAGAAGACAUUUUUUGAAGGGGAUGGAAUUCUGGUCAUUUCAAUUCAGAGUUUUCCAGGGCAGAACAGAUUUUUGUUCUGCUGCUGUCUGUGGUGCUCUCCCCACCCAAUUUUAGACUUCUGAAUGCAGUGAGCCCCGGCUCCGAGCUGAUUGCGUCCCUGUGAAUGCCAAGCACUGCUUUAUUUUUACCUGGCGAGACGGCUGGCCUGAUAAAUGGAUGGGAUGCCAGCACUGCAGGAGACAACGAUGAUGUCUGCACGGGUUCAUAAGUCUGCAGUUUUCCAGGAGCAGAAUUUCCAAUCCCUUCACACGCAGACAUGAGCCACCAAACACAAACUUAUAAAGGAUUAGGUCUGUGGAACAUUUUCUUUGGACUUUGUAGAGCCAUACUGUACACUAUGUACACCAGUUAUUUUUCCUUUAUUAAGUGCACUAGCAGUAUGAUUAUUAUACUACCAACAUAUUUAUGGCUGAUCUGAUUCCUGAAAUACGCUGUGGCCAUCUGGGUUCUUCCAGGAAAUUGGAUUAAUUAUUGAAUUGUUUGAAUUUCAUAUAACAAAACGUGCUGCUCUUGCUGGUUAGCAGUCCACGUAGAGUUUAAACAAUAUUUCUGAGAGUGAUUUAUUGGUAGAGCGGAAAAGCCUGGUGCUGAAUCCAUCCAUUGGGAUUUGCUUACAUUAGGAAGCAGUGCAGGUGGCAGUCUGUUUCAGCACCGAAUGGAUUUUCCCCUUUUCUCUCUGAUAAAUGAAGUGCUUAUAUAAGGUGAAAGAUUGAAAAAGCGAGCGGUGCGGAGCCCCCAGGGAGCCGUGCGGGCAUGGGGCUGGGGUUGCUGGCCUUGCUG
ensembl:lncRNA